rnacentral:rRNA from 1 species
CAGCCGCCGCGGUAACACGAAGGGGGCUAGCGUUGCUCGGAAUCACUGGGCGUAAAGGGUGCGUAGGCGGGUCUUUAAGUCAGGGGUGAAAUCCUGGAGCUCAACUCCAGAACUGCCUUUGAUACUGAAGAUCUUGAGUUCGGGAGAGGUGAGUGGAACUGCGAGUGUAGAGGUGAAAUUCGUAGAUAUUCGCAAGAACACCAGUGGCGAAAGCGGCUCACUGGCCCGAUACUGACGCUGAGGCACGAAAGCGUGGGGAGCAAACAGGAUUAGAUACCCCCGUAGUCCCUGUCUCUUAUAC